ensembl:lncRNA
UGCAGGUGUGUUUGGAGGAGAUGCCACAUCAUAUCAAGAGGUUUAAUAUGUUUCAAAACACAAAUGAGUUUGGAGAGGCUCUGGUGCCAGCAGACAAGAUGGAAGAGAUGAAGAGAAGGUUCACCAGUGUCCGUGUAACAGCUAAAUAUCAUGGUAUUAAGCUGGAGUACCGUGAGCGCAGACACACAGUGUUAGACCUGCUGAAUCAACUCAACAUUAAACUGCGAUCUUGGAAAAGAGCCUACAUUUCCCAGGAGGCUGUUCGUGUGCUAAUGCAGGACUGGAAUGAGACUGUGAACAAACAGGAACUGGCUUCUUUGCUGGAUGGAGCCCUCCAUAGACUCAAACUAAUCGCGAACAAAUACACCAGCAAGGCUGCCUUGGGUAAUACA